AAAUAGAUCGGGCGACUAUAAUCUAUAUUGAGUCCGUUGACAAAAAAAUAAAUAAAUAAAUAAAACACGGACGAGUGCACUCGGUGUUAACACGCUCGCUCACGGCGUCGAACGAGUCGGACUCGCUAUGGAUUUACCUCCGACGAAGCUUGAUUACUUCGUGGAUAUGUCGAUACUUCAAUCCAAAUCCAAACUACUCUCCUUAAAGGAAGACGAUGGCGGUACAGCUUUGAUUCUGGACUCGACGGUGUUCCAUCCGCAAGGAGGAGGCCAGCCAUCGGACACAGGCUUCAUCGUGUUUGCUGGUUCGGAUAUCAAGUUUUCCGUUCAAGAUGUUCGAUCAAAAGAUGGAAUUGUUUUCCAUUUCGGAGAUUUUGAGUGUUCAAAUCCUGAAAGUGGAACAACUCUUGAGGAAGGACAAGAAGUUCUCUUGCUUGUUGAUGAAUCAAGGCGCAAGCUUAAUUCUAGGUUGCACUCAGCUGGGCACUUACUAGACGUGUGUAUGCAGAAAGUUGGUUUGGGGCAUCUGGAGCCUGGAAAAGGGUACCAUUUUCCAGAUGGUCCUUUUGUGGAAUACAAAGGAACUGUCCCGCAGGAUGAAUUGCAGGUGAAGCAGAAAGAGCUGGAGGCAGAAGCUAAUGAACUGAUAUCUAGAGGAGGGAAGGUUUAUGCUGCUAUCUUGCCUUAUGAAGAAGCAUCCAAGCUCUGUGGUGGCAGUCUUCCCAAUUAUAUUGCUAAGGGAAGCACUCCUCGGAUCAUAAAGUUAGGUGACAGUCCUGGCUGUCCUUGUGGUGGUACCCAUGUCUCUGACAUUUCUGAUAUCAUAAGCAUGAAAGUCACGCAGGUUAGAACCAAGAAAGGAACGACGAAAGUUUUCUACACCAUCGGAUCUUAGUACUAUCUUUGAUCGGAUCCAGUUCACAUACAAAACUGUAUUCUUGAUUCUUGAUGAGAUGUCGUUUUCAGGGUUUCAAAGUGUUGGAAACUAGUUCUUGAGAGCUGCCUCUUUUUAAAUAGCGCUGCCAUAUGAUAUGACUGACUUCUCAGAGAGUCUCAACAGCCAGAAAUCAAAGAGCCUCCUCUCCAUCUGAUAAAUGGCUCUCCCUAUCCAUCUGAGUGGUUGGUUCUGCAAAUGUGCGUCCAAAGAAGCCAAACCGGUGUUUCGGAAUCUAGUGUUUCUCAUGAUGUCCCAAUUCAUUUCGUCAUUUCCCUUACAAAUCUUUCAACAACUUAUCACAGAAGUCUGUAUUUUGCAUUGGGUUUGUUCUCUCGGUCUCAGAUAGUUUACUCUUUAGAAAGGAUCAUACAACAUAUAGUCUAGUGA